GGUGCAGCGAAACUUGAUGAUGACGUACCACCCAGCAGGUUUGACUCGUCAGUGAAUAAAGUUGCGGCUGUGCGUAACGUCUCAGUUUCCUCCUCGUACCGGUGCGGCCAGUUACCUCAAGGCGCACUGCUCUUUAACCAUAUUAUUAUUCACGUUUAAAUAAAAUUCGUUUUUUUUUCCUCAUCUUCUUUUCUUUUCUGGAAACCCAACACCAUCAAAGCUGAAGUUCUUUUAGAAAAGGCCGUGUUUCUACACCCCCACCCUUUCACUCUCAUUCUUUUUGAGGAUCUUUCAUUGUCAAGCCGCCAAAGUGGAGAGUGUGAUUGCAGAGGGGGGUGCUUCUCGUUUCAGUGCUUCUUCGGGCGGAGGAGGAGGUAGGGGUGCAUCUCAGCACUAUCCCAAGUCUGUCGGCAACGGCGAGUUCCUGGGGAAAACCCCAGGACCUAACGUUCAGAGAUGGGUUCCUUCACGAAGCACUAGACGAGAUGUCAACUCCUCCAACGAAAAAGAACGACACGAUGCAAUCUUCAGGAAAGUGAGGGGCAUACUUAAUAAACUGACCCCUGAAAAGUUUGACAAGCUAUGCCUUGAGCUCCUGAAUGUGGGCGUAGAUUCAAAGCUCAUCCUCAAAGGAAUCAUCUUGCUGGUGAGGGGUUUGUUCAUUAUGUGUAGGCU